AUUGAACGCUGGCGGCAGGCUUAACACAUGCAAGUCGAGCGGAGAUGAGGUGCUUGCACCUUAUCUUAGCGGCGGACGGGUGAAUAAUGCUUAGGAAUCUGCCUAUUAGUGGGGGACAACAUUCCGAAAGGAAUGCUAAUACCGCAUACGGCCUACGGGAGAAAGCAGGGGAUCUUCGGACCUCGCGCUAAUAGAUGAGCCUAAGUCGGAUUAGCAAGUUGGUGGGGUAAAGGCCUACCAAGGCGACGAUCUGUAGCGGGUCUGAGAGGAUGAUCCGCCACACUGGGACUGAGACACGGCCCAGACUCCUACGGGAGGCAGCAGUGGGGAAUAUUGGACAAUGGGGGGAACCCUGAUCCAGCCAUGCCGCGUGUGUGAAGAAGGCCUUAUGGUUGUAAAGCACUUUAAGCGAGGAGGAGGCUACUGAGACUAAUACUCUUGGAUAGUGGACGUUACUCGCAGAAUAAGCACCGGCUAACUCUGUGCCAGCCGCCGCGGUAACAC
rnacentral:rRNA from 1 species